GUUUUUUUUUUUUUUUUUUUUUUUCUGUUCCUCCGCAAAGCGCCUGUUUUUUCAAAA
rnacentral:ribozyme from 13 species